ACAACACUCCAAUUCCAGAAAUAAAGAGUGAGGUUCAUGAGUAUGUGAGAAGAAAAACAAAAUUUCUUUCUCAGAACUGGGAUCUUCAUUGUAAUUAAAAGCAUGUUAAGCAGGCUCCAAAGAACGGGGUUUACAGAAGAAGACUGAGUAUUGUCUGACCUCAAGCUUACGGGAUGCCAGAGAACAAGAUUACUGAGAAUGCAACUGAAUUUUAGAGACUACCAGUCACCAAGUAAGUUGCUCAGGCACUACUCAGAUUAUCCCGAUAACAUUUGGAUAUUCAGGAGGGUCUUGGUUAGCACC
rnacentral:lncRNA from 1 species